AGCAUACAUAAGACAUCCGUCAGCCAAUAUCUGGACCCUUGCUGGAUUUUCUCUUCAUGAUGUAUGCAAGUCCAGUUCCACUCACAGUAUGAGGACAAGGAUGUCAGGAGCAGUGGGAUGGAUUGGGUUCCCUUCCUUCACUGGAUGCUCCCCUGGCAAUGGCCGGGUUGAUGCUGCAGGGUAUUGGAAGUCCAGAAGCCUUCCUGGAUGAACAGCAGUGACUAUAGAACACAGCAACUGCUGCAAAAUU
rnacentral:lncRNA from 1 species